rnacentral:rRNA from 1 species
GACGAACGCUGGCGGCGUGCCUAAUACAUGCAAGUCGAGCGGAACUGGGGGAGCUUGCUCCUCCCAGUUUAGCGGCGGACGGGUGAGUAACACGUGGGCAACCUGCCCUGCAGAUCGGGAUAACUCCGGGAAACCGGUGCUAAUACCGAAUAGUUUGGCGCCUCUCCUGAGGCGCUACGGAAAGACGGUUUCGGCUGUCACUGCAGGAUGGGCCCGCGGCGCAUUAGCGAGUUGGUGGGGUAACGGCCCACCAAGGCGCAGAUGCGUCGCCGAACUGAGAGGGUGGCCGGCCACACUGGGACUGAGACACGGCCCAGACUCCUACGGGAGGCAGCAGUAGGGAAUCUUCCGCAAUGGACGCAAGUCUAACGGAGCAACGCCGCGUGAGUGACGAAGGUUUUCGGAUCGUAAAACUCUGUUGUGAGGGAAGAACACGUACCAACUAACUAUUGGUACCUUGACGGUACCUCACCAGAAAGCCACGGCUAACUACGUGCCAGCAGCCGCCGUAA